rnacentral:rRNA from 1 species
UACGAAGGGUGCAAGCGUUACUCGGAAUUACUGGGCGUAAAGCGUGCGUAGGUGGUUUGUUAAGUCUGUUGUGAAAGCCCCGGGCUCAACCUGGGAAUGGCAAUGGAUACUGGCAAGCUAGAGUGCGGUAGAGGGUAGUGGAAUUCCCGGUGUAGCGGUGAAAUGCGUAGAUAUCGGGAGGAACAUCAGUGGCGAAGGCGGCUGCCUGGCCCAAUACUGACACUCAGGUGCGACAGCGUGGGGAGCAAACAGG